UUUCAGAGUAGUAUGCUUAACUGUUGUCACAUGUCAAACACUGAACGUUAAUUCAGCACAGCUGUGAAGGUUGUUACCUUACAAACAAUUGUGCUAACCGUUCAUUUUACUAAAGCUUCAUAGUAAACGAUGCUAUAUUGACCA